rnacentral:rRNA from 1 species
AACGCCGCAGGCAGUGGCACACGGCUCAGUAACACGCAGUCAACAUGCCCAAAGGACGUGGAUAACCUCGGGAAACUGAGGAUAAACCGCGAUAGGCCAAGGUUUCUGGAAUGAGCCCUGGCCGAAUUCUAUAUGGCCUUUGGAUGGACUGCGGCCGAUCAGGCUGUUGUGAGGAAUGGCCCACCAAACCUGUAACCGGUACGGGCUUUGAGAGAAGUAGCCCGGAGAUGGGCACUGAGACAAGGGCCCAGGCCCUAUGGGGCGCAGCAGGCGCGAAACCUCUGCAAUAGGCGAAAGCCUGACAGGGUUACUCUGAGUGAUGCCCGCUAAGGGUAU